rnacentral:RNase_P_RNA from 1 species
AAGUGUAGGCAACCUUACCGCCGCGUGCCGAACUUGUUUCGGUGUGAGGAGGAAAGUCCGGACACCAUAGUGCAACAUAGCGGGUAACGCCCGUCCACCUAAAGGUGAGGACCAGUGCAACAGAAAGCAAGUACAGUUAGGCUGUAGUGAAAUCAGGUAAACUCUAUGUGGUGAAACGCCAUGUAUACCAACAUUUUGGGGUUGCACGCCCUAGUUGGAGGGUAGGCGGAUGGAGUUUAUGGGCAAUCAUGAACCUAGAUAAAUGGUAAGGGCCGUUUUGGCGGUUACAGAAUCCGGCUUAUAGCCUACUUUUUAAU